CAGUCGCCGCGGUAACACGGAGGGCGCGAGCGUUACCCGGAUUUACUGGGCGUAAAGGGCGUGUAGGCGGCCUGGGGCGUCCCGUGUGAAAGGCCACGGCUUAACCGUGGAGGAGCGUGGGAUACGCUCAGGCUAGAGGGUGGGAGAGGGUGGUGGAAUUCCCGGAGUAGCGGUGAAAUGCGCAGAUACCGGGAGGAACGCCGAUGGCGAAGGCAGCCACCUGGUCCACUUCUGACGCUGAGGCGCGAAAGCGUGGGGAGCAAACCGGAUUAGAUACCCGCGUAGUCCCUGUCUCUUAUAC
rnacentral:rRNA from 1 species